CUGCCAUUGACGAGAAUAGAGUUCUGCUGUAUUGUACUUUUACAACCAAGGACCAAAAAAGGACACGAGUACAUCCAGAUUAGAACUUCAUCGUGAUGAGGAAUGUCUCGACGUCUCGGGAAUUAGGAAACCUUCGGAUCAGGAUCAGCGAAAUGGCCAGGUGACCGGUUUUGCUACACGCGUCCAUCCCCCGAGGGCAACCCCUGAAUUUUCGUUUUUCCGCCGAUCGAACAGCCGACAGAAUUGAUCGAAUAAACAACGAAUAGACCCAGAACCUAUACGUUGGAAACACACCUGUCCUGCAUCAAUGGCCACAUCUUACCAAUGUUAUGAAAGCCUGAAACCAACACGUGACAAAGGUAUCGCGACGAUUCUACAUUGUAUAUCAAUGACAAUUUGCUUUAUUACACCGGUGACGCUGAUAGCUAAUCGGCCUCGUACACAACUGCCUAUCUACGCGACGAUGUAUCGUGGGCUUGUCACUGCGUCGUUACUUGCACGACUACAGGAAUUAUUUAACGUGGAACACGAGGCUUUCGCUUCGUAGAUAACGCUUGGCGAUACGAAAUCGGCGUUCAACUAUGUUUCUCGUGCUGAUUCCGGCCAACAUUUUUGAUAAAUGCUCGACAGCGUCAGCCAGGGAAACGUAGCCGAUUGAAUUACAGAGAGUAAUCUGUAGAGACACAGAUGGUCGUGUAAGAGGGGACAGAAGUUCGUGUUGAAUGAGAUUAGUACCUCGAAUAGCGCUACUUGAAAUAUUCAGAGAGGAAAAAUGAACAUUAAUGACGGUGUGUUGCGAUAGUGAUGUAGGUUGAUGUUAGGGAGCUUGAUAAUAAGACGGUCAUCGGUUUCGUGGAACUUUGAUAAAAGGUUACUUUAUUUUCCUCUGUGUGUAUGUAUAUAUAUAAAAUUUGGCGUCGAUGUUGCUAGCUAAAUAUUUUACAUAAUGGUUAUUC